AUUGAACGCUGGCGGCAGGCCUAACACAUGCAAGUCGAGCGAGCGGCGGACGGGAGAGAUAUGUAUGGGGAUCUGCCCGAGAGAGGGGGAUAAAUACUGGAAACUGUGGCUAAUACCGCAUACUAUCAGAUGAACCCCUAUGGGAUUAGCUAGUAGGUGGGGUAAAGGGUCACGUAGGCGAAGCACUCUAGCUGGUAUGAGAGGAUGAUCAGCCACACUGGGACGGAGACACGGCCCAGACUCCUACGAGAGGCAGCAGUGGGGAAUAUUGCACAAUGGGCGCAAGGCUGAUGCAGCCAUGCCGCGUGUAUGAAGAAGGCCUUAGGGUUGGAAAGUACUUUCAGCGGGGAGGCGUUACCCGCAGAAGAAGCACCGGCUAACUACGUGCCAGCCGCCGCGGUAAUAC
rnacentral:rRNA from 1 species